CUUUUUGAUUUCACUAUUUCUGCGCUCUUAUUUCCUCAAACUUUUGUGCAUGGCGAUUAGGGCAUCAAUCCACAAUUAGGCCUCAAAAUAUAUCCGGAUCGACGCUAUUACCUCAUGAAGAAGAUGUAAUCUCUUACAGAUUUUCGAGCUUUUCUAACCAAUUUGGAAGAAGAGAAGAUAUAAUAGCGAAAGUUAGCUUCAAUUUGGGGAUUUGGGUUUUCUAGGAGUUCGUUUUAUUUGUUUAUUUGGCUUUUAGGUUUUUCAAGGAAUGAAGGGUCAAUCUGAGAAGACUAAGGUGGUUGUGCGCCACUUGCCACCGACGAUUUCUCAGGUUACUUUCAUGGAGCAAAUCGACGUUGCUUUUGCUGGGCGUUAUAACUGGGUGUGGUUCCGUCCUGGCAAGAACAGCCAGAAGCACCAAUCUCAUUCUAGAGCUUACAUUGACUUCAAAAGGCCAGAGGAUGUUAUUGAGUUUGCAGAAUUUUUUAAUGGCCAUCUCUUCGUCAGUGAGAAGGGCACUCAGUUUAGAGCUAUUGUCGAGUAUGCUCCUUCACAGCGUGUUCCAAAGCAAUGGUUUAAGAAGGAUGGUCGUGAAGGCACCAUAUUAAAAGAUCCUGCUUAUUUGGAGUUCCUGGAUUUGAUAUCAAAGCCUGCUGAGAAUCUUCCUAGUGCUGAGAUACAAUUGGAAAGAAGAGAAGCGGAAAGAGCUGGUGCUGCAAAAGAUGCUCCUAUUAUUACACCCUUGAUGGACUUUGUCCGUCAGAAAAGAGCUGCAAAAAGUGGAUCUCGGAGAAUACUGGCUAAUGGGAAGCUUAACAGAAGGGCUGGUGCAAGUGGAAGUCCUAGCUCAUCCUCAUCCAAACGAAGUUCUGACAAGAAGAGGGUUUCAACCACAAUGUAUGUUUUAAGGGACUCGGCAAAAAGCACUAGUGGAAAAGACAAAUCAACUUACAUUCUGGUUCCUAAGCGUGAUGAUCAGCAUCUUUCUGAUAAAGUUGUUGCUUCAGCUUCUGCAUCAGGAACUGAAGUAUUGGAAGAUGAAAGUGGAGUUUCUGGAAUUACUGAUGCUGGGAAAAAGAAAAUCCUGCUGCUGAAAGGGAAAGAGAAAGAAAUUCCAACACAGAAUGCAGCUUGCUUUGAUAAAAAUCUGAUUAGCUCUGUUCUCAAACAGAGCCAACGACGCGAGGCUAGUGGUAGGAUUAUCAGAAGCAUACUUUUAAACAAGGACUCACGCCAAAAUCUAUUUUCUGGAGCCCAGUCUGAGCAGCAAACACAAACUUCAAAUUUAGAAAAGGAUAAGCGCCCUCAUCGUCCUCAGCAUGUGCAGUUGAAUUUGAAGGAUGCAAAUGGUGCUCCAGAUGACAAGCUUGUGGGUAAUGAGUUGCAUUGUUUUCCUGGUGAGAAGCAGGAAAAGCGCACAAGAAAUAAGGAUAGAUCUGAUCGUGUUGUCUGGACUCCUCUUCGUCCAUCAGAUGGAUCAUAUGCAAGUGAUGAAUCCUUAUUGUCAUCUGCAUCUCAGUCUGUACAAUCAGGUGUAGAUUCUUCUCAAGGGACAUCAUAGACUCAUAGUAUUUGUGAGUGCGUUUACCAGUUGAAAUGGUCACUUACUGUAUAACAAACUAUUUGAAGAUAUUCAUGUGUACAAUAGUAUUGACACCUACUCUGAGAUAAAAGAUAAGUUUUUCAGUAAGUUAUUGUGCAGUGAAUUUUAUAUUUGAGCAAUUUGUUUUAAUAUUUCUUUUGCAUAUUAUCUCCCAGGAAGUCUUGGAGAUGUAAAAGUUGACUCAUCAAAUUCAAGGGGUGGAGAAGUCAAAACACUUGGAAGUGGACGUAGCGGUCACUCUUCUUUAGAUAAUGGAUCACUUAAACAUUUUGGUCGUAGGGGAGCUUCACAUACAGUGAGAGAUGUGGAUGGUUCAUCUGGUGAAGGGAAGCUUUCGAAGAGAGGUGGUGCUUCUGGUUAUGGUUCCCACGAGAAGCAAGUCUGGGUUCAAAAGUCAAGUUCUGGUUCUUAGAGUUUUUGAAAAGUGGAAUGCUUAGUCCCUUGAAAUUUUGGAGCAUGCAGUUGCUGUAUGCUGGUGGCUGUCUCUUUUUAACGAAACAGAUGGUCAGGUGUGAAGAAGUUUCAGCAGUGAGGAAGAUUUUCUUGCAGAAACCUAGAAUGAAAAAUGAAAAUUGACGACAACGAUGCCAGAUAAUUCGUGUAACUAAAUACUUGCUCAGUCGGAUACAAUCCCGAUCUUAGUCAAAGACAGCUCGGAAUAGGAGGAAGAAAGAAAGCAGGAAAGAUAACUUCAUUAUAAUCAUAUAUAGGACAACAGAUUUGCCAGGGUGUCCCCUUGUGGGGUUCUACUCAGCAGAGGUUGCCAUUGAUGUAGUCAUUCUUGUCCUCGUUUGACUGCAUAUCGGGAUAUUCUAGUACUAUAGGUCACCCUUACUCUGGUUAGACUGUAUAUAAAUAUCGAAAGCGGAAAGCCUUACUUGAUUUCCCAUGUUUCUUAUACGUAUGUCUUGUUAAGCAGUCUACCAUUGCGUGAUUCAGUGAGGAUUUUGUUAAUAGCCCCUGGUAUUUUGUAGGGCUAUCUAUAAUUGGGUUCUUGUCACAGAGAAUAAAAAGCUGGGGACCUUUUGUCCAGCAGAGUUGAGAGAAGUUGUCUGUUAUGUGACUGAUGGUCAAUGGAGUGAUUUUAGAAGCAUGGAUGAAUGUUAUAAAAUGUGUUAGAACUAAUUCUGUCUAUGCUGUCCUUGUGUUAAUGGAAAAUUUGCUUUGGUGCUAUUAUGUGAUUGUGCCUUUGAUUUU